AUGAACGCUGGCGGCGUGCCUAACACAUGCAAGUCGAACGGACUUACAUUGAAGCCUAGCGAUAUGUAAGUUAGUGGCGGACGGGUGAGUAACGCGUGGGUAACCUGCCUUGUACUGGGGGACAACAGUUGGAAACGACUGCUAAUACCGCAUAAGCGCACAGCUUCGCAUGAAGCAGUGUGAAAAACUCCGGUGGUACAAGAUGGACCCGCGUCUGAUUAGCUGGUUGGUGAGGUAACGGCCCACCAAGGCGACGAUCAGUAGCCGGCCUGAGAGGGUGAACGGCCACAUUGGGACUGAGACACGGCCCAAACUCCUACGGGAGGCAGCAGUGGGGAAUAUUGCACAAUGGGGGAAACCCUGAUGCAGCAACGCCGCGUGAGUGAAGAAGUAUUUCGGUAUGUAAAGCUCUAUCAGCAGGAAAGAAAAUGACGGUACCUGACUAAGAAGCCCCGGCUAACUACGUGCCAGCAGCCGCGGUAAUACGUAGGGGGCAAGCGUUAUCCGGAUUUACUGGGUGUAAAGGGAGCGUAGACGGUUUUGCAAGUCUGAAGUGAAAGCCCGGGGCUUAACCCCGGGACUGCUUUGGAAACUGUAGGACUAGAGUGCAGGAGAGGUAAGUGGAAUUCCUAGUGUAGCGGUGAAAUGCGUAGAUAUUAGGAGGAACACCAGUGGCGAAGGCGGCUUACUGGACUGUAACUGACGUUGAGGCUCGAAAGCGUGGGGAGCAAACAGGAUUAGAUACCCUGGUAGUCCACGCCGUAAACGAUGAUUACUAGGUGUUGGUGGGUAUGACCCAUCGGUGCCGCAGCAAACGCAAUAAGUAAUCCACCUGGGGAGUACGUUCGCAAGAAUGAAACUCAAAGGAAUUGACGGGGACCCGCACAAGCGGUGGAGCAUGUGGUUUAAUUCGAAGCAACGCGAAGAACCUUACCAAAUCUUGACAUCCUUUGACAACUCUAGAGAUAGAGCUUUCCCCUUCGGGGGACAAAGUGACAGGUGGUGCAUGGUUGUCGUCAGCUCGUGUCGUGAGAUGUUGGGUUAAGUCCCGCAACGAGCGCAACCCUUAUUGUUAGUUGCCAUCAUUUAGUUGGGCACUCUAGCGAGACUGCCGGUGACAAACCGGAGGAAGGUGGGGAUGACGUCAAAUCAUCAUGCCCCUUAUGACCAGGGCUACACACGUGCUACAAUGGCGUAAACAAAGAGAAGCGAAGUCGUGAGGCAGAGCGAAUCUCAAAAAUAACGUCUCAGUUCGGAUUGUAGUCUGCAACUCGACUACAUGAAGCUGGAAUCGCUAGUAAUCGCAGAUCAGAAUGCUGCGGUGAAUACGUUCCCGGGUCUUGUACACACCGCCCGUCACACCAUGGGAGUCGGAAAUGCCCGAAGUCGGUGACCUAACCGAAAGGAAGGAGCCGCCGAAGGCAGGUCUGAUAACUGGGGUG
rnacentral:rRNA from 1 species